rnacentral:rRNA from 1 species
UACAGAGGUCUCAAGCGUUGUUCGGACUCAUUGGGCGUAAAGGGUGUGUAGGUGGCGCCGUAAGUCGGGUGUGAAAUUUCGGAGCUUAACUGCGAAACUGCAUUCGAUACUGCGGUGCUUGAGGACUGGAGAGGAGACUGGAAUUCAUGGUGUAGCAGUGAAAUGCGUAGAUAUCGAGAGGAACACCAGUGGCGAAGGCGAGUCCCUGGACAACACCUGACACUGAGGCACGAAAGCUAGGGGAGCAAACAGG